rnacentral:rRNA from 1 species
UAGAGGAAGUAAAAGUCGUAACAAGGUCUCCGUUGGUGAACCAGCGGAGGGAUCAUUACUGAGUUUACGCUCUAUAACCCUUUGUGAACAUACCUAUAACUGUUGCUUCGGCGGGCAGGGUCUCCGUGACCCUCCCGGCCUCCCGCCCCCGGGCGGGUCGGCGCCCGCCGGAGGAUAACCAAACUCUGAUUUAACGACGUUUCUUCUGAGUGGUACAAGCAAAUAAUCAAAACUUUUAACAACGGAUCUCUUGGUUCUGGCAUCGAUGAAGAACGCAGCGAAAUGCGAUAAGUAAUGUGAAUUGCAGAAUUCAGUGAAUCAUCGAAUCUUUGAACGCACAUUGCGCCCGCCAGCAUUCUGGCGGGCAUGCCUGUUCGAGCGUCAUUUCAACCCUCAAGCUCUGCUUGGUGUUGGGGCCCUACAGCUGAUGUAGGCCCUCAAAGGUAGUGGCGGACCCUCCCGGAGCCUCCUUUGCGUAGUAACUUUACGUCUCGCACUGGGAUCCGGAGGGACUCUUGCCGUAAAACCCCCCAAUUUUCCAAAGGUUGACCUCGGAUCAGGUAGGAAUACCCGCUGAACUUAAGCAUAUCAAUA